CCUACGGGAGGCAGCAGUGAGGAAUAUUGGUCAAUGGCCGCAGGGCUGAACCAGCCAAGUCGCGUGAGGGAUGACGGUCCUAUGGAUUGUAAACCUCUUUUGUCAGGGAGCAAAGGGCACCACGUGUGGAGUUUUGCGAGUACCUGACGAAAAAGCAUCGGCUAACUCCGUGCCAGCAGCCGCGGUAAUACGGAGGAUCCGAGCGUUAUCCGGAUUUAUUGGGUUUAAAGGGAGCGUAGAUGGGUUGUUAAGUCAGUUGUGAAAGUUUGCGGCUCAACCGUAAAAUUGCAAUUGAUACUGGCAGUCUUGAGUACAGUUGAGGUAGGUGGAAUUCGUGGUGUAGCGGUGAAAUGCUUAGAUAUCACGAAGAACUCCGAUUGCGAAGGCAGCUUACUAAACUGCCACUGACAUUGAUGCUCGAAAGUGUGGGUAGCAAACAGGAUUAGAUACCCGAGUAGUC
rnacentral:rRNA from 1 species